rnacentral:lncRNA from 1 species
GGGUUAUAUUCAGAAACACUCGAGAUUUCCAUUUUCUUAAAAAAAAAUAGGUGCUAUUCUACAGGAAUAUCAAAUCUAUACAUAAUUUCUGCGAGAAAUCAAAUUAAGAUUUUUGUAAUGUUCUAAAUUAAUAGAUCCUUCCAUGAUGUGCAGCACCACCCAAUUCCUUAUUCGGCCAAUCCAGUCUUCUAGACUUUUUCUUAAAAUUCCUAAGACAAUCUCUUCGAACGGGCUUGCACGCCACGACCGUGAGUUCCAAGCUCCGCAUAUGGGCGACGAUCCAAGAGACCUGAGCUGUAUUAGUAGCUACGAGCUGUUCCGCUGUUCGACAUGACAAAGUUUAGCCGUGGUAGAGCAUACGGGAGAUGAUGGCGUACGGGCCAUGAUUGGAUAAAUGGCAUGCAUGGGCCCAUGUCGUGUGGCACAUGCACAUGCAGGUCAGAUCCGUAUGCAUCGAGUUG